UAACUGGAGAGUUUGAUCCUGGCUCAGAGUGAACGCUGGCGGCGUGCCUAACACAUGCAAGUCGGACGGGCUAGUGCUUCGCACUAGUUUCUUUAUGGGAUUGGUACUCUAAGGCUGCCUGUUAAAGUUGUUGCUUUAUAGCAGGGGUUUUGGGGGACUUUCCCCUAAAGGGGCAAGUGCGGAGCACUGGUCAGUGGCGAACGGGUGAGUAACACGUGGGUAACCUGCCCUCGAGCGGGGAAUAAGCUCCCGAAAGGGGGUCUAAUGCCGCAUAACGUUUCAUAACGAUGGUUAUGAAACCAAAGCCCAAAAGGCGCUUGAGGAGGGGCCUGCGUCCUAUCAGCUUGUUGGCAGGGUAACGGCCUACCAAGGCUAUGACGGGUAGCCGGCCUGAGAGGGUGUCCGGCCACACUGGAACUGAGACACGGUCCAGACUCCUACGGGAGGCAGCAGUGGGGAAUUUUGCGCAAUGGGGGAAACCCUGACG
rnacentral:rRNA from 1 species